rnacentral:tRNA from 1 species
ACAUUGGUGGUUCAGUGGUAGAAUUCUUGCCUUCUAUGCGAGAGAACUGAGUUUGAGUCCUGGCCGAUGCA